rnacentral:sRNA from 1 species
GAAAAGAUUGCAGUAGAAAUCCCACAAAGAUUUGGACAGAGGCAGAGCCUAUGUCACUACACCUUAAAGGAUAACAAGGUUUAUAUCAAGACUCAUGGUGAACAUGUAGGUUUUAGAAUUUUCAUGGAUGCCAUACUACUUUCUUUGACUAGAAAAGUAAGUAUAUAUUUUCUCUUAGCUGUAAUAGAUAAUUUAAGCCCAGAUUUUACAGGAUAAUUUUUCAAAAUACAAAUUAUAACACUAUCAGGGUAUUCUCUUCUGGAGCCUUAUGAUAAUACUAUUCUGAAGCUUUCUGUUAUUUCAGGUACCUGCGUUUGUUUCCUGGGGCUACCGUAACAAAGUGCU